AAGUGGUACAGCUCUUUUAGAAUUUGUCUAGCAGGUUUUCCUGUUUUUACUGGAAAAUCCUC
rnacentral:snRNA from 1 species